rnacentral:tRNA from 1 species
UUAAUUGAAGCCAAAAUAGAGGCAUUUCACUGUUAAUGAUUGUAUUGAAUAAGAAUUCCAAUUAAA